UCAAAGGCUCUUCCGCAACCUUUGUGCGACCAUUCGCUCCACAUCCUUUGAUCUAAGAGAUCCCCCGAUCCCUUAGGUGCAAAGCCCAUCAUUCCCUCAACUUCAAGAGUGUCGAUUCUAGGAGAAACAUAUUAUGUGGUAUCAGA